UCUCCGUUGGUGAACCAGCGGAGGGAUCAUUACAGGACUCGCAAGACUCCUACAACCCUGUGAACUUAACUAUAAGCACGUUGCUUCGGCGGGUGUCUCGUAGGGGGUUCUCCCUCCCCGAGACGCUAAACCCGCCGGCAGCCUACUAUACUCUGUCUCUUUGCGUUGGCAUCUCGAGUACAAUCAAACAAGUUAAAACUUUCAACAACGGAUCUCUUGGUUCUG
rnacentral:misc_RNA from 1 species